CCGCCAUGAAGCAGCAGACACUCUCACGCUGGGAUCAUCUGAGGAGGGUUCAACAAGGGACCACUUCCCUAGAUCGGGUUCAGGAGUCCAGGAACUGGCAACAAGUCACACAGGAAGAAGUGAGGCAGAAGGAGAUACCAGAGCCAGGACGGGCGGGGACAGAACUUCGCUGACCGUGUAACCCUUUACAGCCAAAGAGCUCGAGCUACAGGGCUUGGAGAGGAGCCCUUCACUGUCCUAAACCACAUGGAGGUAAUAACACGCAUCUAAGAGGUCCACCGUUGGCCAUCGAACAGACACCUUCCAUGAACAGACACCCUCCAUUCUCCGUAAGACCUGCUGACGGGGCCAUGGUGCUAGAAUGUUCACAGCUACCAGGCUAGGCCCCUUCUGGGACACCUGCACCUGUACCUCUAAGAGUCGGCUUGUUUCCUUUGGCGCUGGCUCCGAGCGUGCUGAUGUCUGCUGCACCU